GCGGCACAGCGUCGCCGCUGUUUGUGCUGCGGUAACAGCAACAAUGCAGUUUUUAAUGAUGAUGGUGUGAGCUCCUCUGCUACACGAUCCCAAACAUCAAUUCGUUCCAAAUUAACACACCUGGAGGAUGUACGAGUAAGUAAACCUGCGGAGUGGUUUUGGACAACACGUUGAACCUGCAGGAUCUUAGAGGGGUUUCCUGUUUGAGAAGAACAUUUUCCUGGGGUCA